UACGUAGGGUGCAAGCGUUGUCCGGAAUUAUUGGGCGUAAAGAGCUCGUAGGCGGUCUGUCGCGUCGGCUGUGAAAACCUGGGGCUUAACUCCGGGCCUGCAGCCGAUACGGGCAGACUAGAGUUCGGCAGGGGAGACUGGAAUUCCUGGUGUAGCGGUGAAAUGCGCAGAUAUCAGGAGGAACACCGGUGGCGAAGGCGGGUCUCUGGGCCGAUACUGACGCUGAGGAGCAAAAGCGUGGGGAGCAAACAGG
rnacentral:rRNA from 1 species